rnacentral:rRNA from 1 species
GACAGAGGGUGCAACCGUUGUUCGGAUUUACUGGGCGUAAAGCGCGUGUAGGCGGCUUGGCAAGUCGGAUGUGAAAGCCCACGGCUCAACCGUGGAAGCGCAUCCGAAACUGCUUCGCUCGAGUCUCGGAGAGGAAGGUGGAAUGCUUGGUGUAGAGGUGAAAUUCGUAGAUAUCAAGCAGAACACCUGCGGCGAAGGCGGCCUUCUGGACGAUGACUGACGCUGAGGCGCGAAAGCCAGGGGAGCGAACGGG